UAAGUAGAGUAAAUGAUCGCGGCCGCAGCGUAAUCGCUGCGGGUGAGGAAAGUCCGGGCUUCACAGGGCAGGAUGCCGGAUAACGUCCGGUGGAGGCGACUCCAAGGAUAGUGCAACAGAAAUAUACCGCCGGGAGAUAUCCCGGUAAGGGCGGAAGGGCAGUGUAAGAGACUACCGCCCCGCUGGUAACAGCGGGGGCAUAUGUAAACCCCAUCCGAAGCAAGACCGAACAAAAGCGUUGACGUGGCCCGCCAGCUUUAGGUUGGUCGCUUGAGACAGCUGGUAACAGCUGUCCUAGAUAGAUGAUCAUUCACGACAUAACCCGGCUUAUCGCUCUGCUUAUCAG
rnacentral:RNase_P_RNA from 1 species